CGCGGGGUAGAGCAGUUUGGUAGCUCGUCGGGCUCAUAACCCGGAGGUCGGGGGUUCAAAUCCCUCCCCCGCAACCA
rnacentral:tRNA from 1 species